rnacentral:rRNA from 1 species
UCCGUAGGUGGAUAAUUAAGUCAGAGGUGAAAUCCCACAGCUUAACUGUGGAACUGCCUUAGAUACUGGUUAUCUUGAGUUUUAGUGAAGUAAAUAGAAUGUGUAGUGUAGCGGUGAAAUGCAUAGAUAUUACACAGAAUACCGAUUGCGAAGGCAGUCUACUAACUAACAACUGACGCUAAUGGACGAAAGCGUGGGGAGCGAACAGGAUUAGAUACCCUGGUAGUCC